GGCCUGGUGGUGUAGUGCAACACAUCCUCCGUUUGUGAUCAGUUCUUCUUUGUUAUCCUGAGGAAGUCCCCCGUUUGACCCGGGGCCAGGCCA